AGUGAACGCUGGCGGCAGGCCUAAUACAUGCAAGUCGAACGGCAGCACAGCAGAGCUUGCUCUGUGGGUGGCGAGUGGCGGACGGGUGAGGAAUACGUGGGAAUCUGCCCAGUCGUGGGGGAUAACGUAGGGAAACUUACGCUAAUACCGCAUGCGCCCUUCGGGGGAAAGCCGGGGACCUUCGGGCCUGGCGCGAUUGGAUGAGCCCACGUCGGAUUAGCUAGUUGGCGGGGUAAAGGCCCACCAAGGCGACGAUCCGUAGCUGGUCUGGGAGAUGAUCAGCCACACUGGAACUGAGACACGGUCCAGACUCCUACGGGAGGCAGCAGUAGGGAAUAUUGGACAAUGGGCGCAAGCCUGAUCCAGCCAUGCCGCGUGAGUGAAGAAGGCCCUCGGGUUGUAAAGCU
rnacentral:rRNA from 1 species